GGGAGUUUAGUUAAAUGGUAUAACUGCGGUCUCCAAAACCGCGAUUGGGGGUUCGAUUCCCUCAACUCCCGCCU
rnacentral:tRNA from 3 species